rnacentral:rRNA from 1 species
UACGUAGGGUGCGAGCGUUGUCCGGAAUUACUGGGCGUAAAGAGCUCGUAGGUGGUUUGUCGCGUUGUUCGUGAAAUCUCACGGCUUAACUGUGAGCGUGCGGGCGAUACGGGCAGACUUGAGUACUGCAGGGGAGACUGGAAUUCCUGGUGUAGCGGUGGAAUGCGCAGAUAUCAGGAGGAACACCGGUGGCGAAGGCGGGCCUCUGGGCCGUAACUGACGCUGAGGAGCGAAAGCAUGGGUAGCGAACAGG